UUGCCCCAGAGCAAACCCAAAGGACCCAGUGGGGUGUUAAGGCUGAGGAAGCUGAAGUAGCUGCUGUCUCCCCGCGUGCCAGGGAGCAAGGACUGACCAGCGUCAAUGACAAGCAUCCUUCGUGACUUCACUGAGUGCUGGAUGCUGCCCAAGCAGUCAGUCCAGGGCAUUCUGCCUGUUGGAGCCUGUGGAAACUGGGGACAGCACACGGAACUGGUCUGACACUGGUGUGACAGCCCCUCACAGCACAGUGUACUGGCACCCCAGGAUAUACUCUGCCUUGUUAGCUGUCCUGUAUUGUCUUCUGUAAAUAUAGGCGAACAUGACGCCUGAAGACCGCCUGUUUCAGGCCUCGGUGAGCGGCACCCUACCCUCAAAAGUCAGAGGUUACAUUUCAAGGACCGGCUCCACUCCUUGGGUUGCCGACCCCCGGUGAUAAGAAGUCUGCUUGGAGCAAGGUCACAGCAGCACAAACCACCUGCCCAUCACCCGGUGCCAGGGCUGGGAGCCAGGCUCCUACUUUGAAGCUUGAUUACAGCAAUUUGGAGGAUGUAUGCAAACCAAUUCCAGCUACUAAUUGAAGGAACUCUACUAAUUAGAAAAGGCUAUGGAACAAAUAACAAUUGGCAAGUAUGGGGUCUUUUUCUGUAUGGAACACCCUUCACACAGUGACUUCUGUCUUGAACAAAUUUAUCAUUAGAUUUUCUGGAUAGGACAUAGACCAAAAAUCAUUAUGCCUAUUGAUACUAUUGCACAUCUAAAAAUAUUUGGUAUUUUCCUUAAAGCCCCAACUGCUGAAGCUAUGUGAUUUUUUAAGGAUCUUAGUUUCUAAUAAGAAAACUAAAAAUUAAAUUUCAGUGCUUCUUGAUUUAUGAGAAGUCUUGAAAGUGUGUAUCCCAAAGGCCCAACUUGCAAAGGCAAAUAAAAAAAGGGUUUUUUUAAAUUUAAAUUUUAAAAUAAUUUUUCUCAAAAGUCUCAAUGUCUGUUAGGAACGACAGCAAUUUUUGACUUUCUGAAGUUGGCACAUAUAUGAUUGUAACUGCUACCAUAGAUUAGGUUUCUUUUUAGUGUGACUAAAUGCGAAGUUUGCAAGAUCCAUCUCCUAUAUCUACCUCUAUUGCAAUUUUUAGUUGAGAAAUGUUCCCUAAAGAGUUCACAUCUUUGCUGAGACAAACAUUUAAAACAUGUAGAAAUCAGUUUUGCAGGACAUUUCUUUGUGGAACCUUGUCAGAAACAGUCAGUGCUCUCUUAAACUGAUUUUUAAAUAGAGAGAUGUGUCAAUGGGUAGCUGCUGAUUAUCUAGUCAUUGGCUGAACAUCUCUUCUCUCUCUCUGGAACCAAGGCUGGUAGCUGGGUGCUAGAGUCCCACAUCUCAGGAUCUUAUCUGGGAGAUGCAUGGCUGCAAAGGAAUUUUAUCUCAUGCUACUUUAGGAUAAGGCUGUACCAUUUCUGCUAGAGCAAUUUUCUGUUUGUGCUAACGUGGGCAGGUUUACAAGAAUGCAUGUGUGCAUUUUUGCAGGAGCACAUCUAACUUACAUAUGAUAUUCCAUGUAUUUGUAUUAGUCUUCAAGUAAUAAAAUAAAAAAGCAUUAAUUUCAUGUUUGUCAUCUUAAAUGCGCUCUUAAUAAGCUUAAACCUCUUACACUUAUACCUGUGCUUUAUCUCUUCACAAGCGGCCCCUUGCUUCCUAAAAAUAGUUCCUUUCCACUAUGAGAGAGUAUCUCUUCCUCUACUGCUGAAUUGGAUAAGAAUAUUGUCCACUCUGCAAUAGAGGGAUUUGUCUCACUUUCCCACUGCCUCAGUGAGGUAUUUUUAGCAGCUAUUAAUGUUAGCUUAAUCCAAACAUUAUUUACAGUAGAAGCACCAGAUAUUUUAGUAAUGUCAUUUAAUACACAUAAGUCUAGAAAAUGCUGAAAUUCAGUCCUAUUCACACUUUGAUAAGGUCAAGUAUUUUCUAUUGAAAUUCUGUGGCUCUGGAACUCAGUAUCAGGUGAUGAAUGUCUCAGGUGCAGUGCAGGUAUUUAAUUGGUGUGAUCCUUCACAAAGUAUGUGUGACAAAAAUCAGAAAAAGCUAGCACACAGUAAAGGCUUCUCAGCAUCUUCACUGACACAGACUGCCUUAGGAUCUGGUUUCACCAUGAUCUCUGUCUAUCUGUCCUGGCUUGUAAAAUAAGCAUGUAUCCUAUUUUUGCCAUCUGUUGGGGGUUAGGCAGUUUUUCUUAUCUCUUUCAAGAACAAUGACACUACCAGGAAGAUAAUCUCCUGCUAAUGGGCUAUUGAAUUACUCACUGUGGCUGGUAAGAUUAGUUACAUCAUCCCAUUGGGAGAUGCUCCACCCAGAGGGAGGAGCCAAGCAUCCCUGCCACCAUAAAACAAGCAUUUCUGAGACCACAGACAGCCGUCUUCGCUGGAUUUCCCAGAGGAAUCAGGAACCAAGGCCCAGCUGCUCCUUCGCCGCAUUUCCAGAAAGGAUCUACACCCUUCUGCAGAUCGCCGCUCCAGGAGGAGCAGCCACCAUCUGGCUGGACUACUAUCAACACCCUGACUUCUCAGGGUGUCAGGUUUUUCUCACUCUGCCAGUGGUUUUUUGCUUGUGCUAAAUUACAUUGUUAUUUAGUUUUUUUUUUCUUCCUAGUAAAAAACUGUUAUUCCCAUUCCCAUAUCUUUGCCUGAGAGCCCUUUUAAUUCUGAAAUUGUGAUAAUUCAGAAGGAGGGGGUUUACCUUUUCCAUUUCACAGGAGGCUUUUGCCUUCCUUCACAGACUCCUGUCUUUUCAAACCAAGACACUAUCAUAGCCAUCAAUGAGUGUUUUUGUGGGCAUUGCUGCCUGAGUGCAAUAGUCCAUGAAGAAGCUUUCAUGCUACUGAAAGUGUUGUCUUGAUGGACUUUAUAGAUUGCUCUAAGCUAUAUUAUAGCAUGACAAAAUACCACUAACUUCUGAAUUUGCCUAAAUACCUUAAAACACAAAUAAUACACUUAUGCCAAAUGCUGCCAGAUUUCCUAGCAACCUACUUUCACUGAAGGUCAAAGCCACACAUUUUCUCAGACUUACAUCACAGUGGGGUUAGACAGACACCUUUAAUUGUACUAGGGGAUCAUACUUUGCACUUGCCAGAGAAAAUAUUACAGAGUGGAGUUAUCCCAAUUGAUUUCAACAGGUCAAGCUCAACUGUGCUACAAGAGAUGUGAGACAGAUUCAACAAGCAGCAGAAAACAAUGGGCUCUGUGUCACCUUGGUAGUGAGUAAAGGGUGCUGUGGGUGGGAGUCAGCAUGUUGAAAAUCUCCAGCCCAAAAAUGCAUGUUACAGUUUAGCCUCGUGUCACACAUAGCUUGGUUUGGAGCAUCACUCACACAGUGGUAAAGCCAGAAUACCAUUUAUAAGGAAAGCCAGGUCUUCCACUUUUCUCCAGCUGUGUAAUUCCUUGUUCAUUACAUUGUUUGCCCAAAAUGUCUCUAGGGACUCAAGUAGAAGUUGGACUUUCCUGCCCAGCUAGAAAGCGACACCUAAUGUUUUCUAACUCCAGAAGACAUUGUUAAUUUGGACUGUGGUGGUAAAAAUAGUCUUCUUCUGACUGCCAGUCCUGGACUUUCCAGCUUCUUUGUAGCCCAAGAGAUUGUCCCUCCUGUAGUGAUUAACCACCUGCACAUUGCCUUGGUGUAACCACAACACAACCUUACUCUUCCCCGUGGGGGAUGGUGGAGACUGCUUUCUCCUGAGCCCAGGCACAUGUAUCUUACACAAAUGCUGUUUUGUGGUAGGAAGUGAAAGAGCAGCCAAUUAUUCUUCACCUUUUCUUGCCCCCUUGCCCUUCCCUUAAAAGUGGAUCUAGCCUGGAAUAGUUCACUAAAAGUCACAUUUCAUACAACAUUUUUUCAGAGAACCUUUUCUUUUUCUUUUGUGCAAGCUGAAGUCAUGCUUGGCCACGCUGUGACACUGAAGCCCAUCCCAGAUGAAUAGAAGUGAUUGUGCUCCUGGUCCAAGUUGGGGUGUUAUGUGCUGGCUCUACAAGUAAGAGUGUUGCAUGGCUUACAUUACCAGGAAACAGAUAGAAAAAGAAUUAUUUUUUGUUUUAAAAUUAAAAGAUGGCAUCAAAUCUGCACAAUAAGUCAGGGGGCUCACUGGUAGGCCCUGCAGUGGGGGGAUGCACUAUUAAUUGAAAUAUCAGUGCUGUGAAGUGAGAAAUUGUCUUCAAUGCAGACUACCUAAAAACUCAGAAGUCUGGAGAUUAUAUGUGCUCUGAUUGAUGUAUUGUGAGUGUAGGCACACUCACAGUACCAGGGUAGUGCAAUGGGAAAGUUCAAUUUCAGAUGUCUAGGGCAGGAGCAGAUCGUUUGAUAGACCCUCUUUAGGAGUAUAACAACUGGGAAAGUUAUCUCUAAGUUUUGAUAAUCACUUUGCCUUCUGAGGCUGCCAACCCAUUUCUUAACUGUUCUUUUUAGUGUGAAAAAGUCUCCCAUUUCUAUUCUCUGCCCUACAUACUUGGGUCAGGAAGCGAACAUCCUAUUUUUAUAGCUUUGAAGCAAAAUGGAUAUAUAAGCAGCUGAUUUCUUCACAGAAUCCUUCUCAGACAUUCUAUUAUUUUUUUUUUUACAAGAGGAGUCCUCACUAUUUCACCAGUCUUUACCUUAAAAGAAAUAGGGCAACACAACUAAGAAGAUUCACAAUUUUACCUGCUGAAGGGCACAGUAGUCAAUGGUAUUCAGCCCUGCAAGGACCUGCUAAUGUUAUUUAAACUGUGGCCCAAUUACAAAAAAAAAGAUCUUAUUUUUUUUUAAUAGUGUAAAACAGAAUAAAAAGAUAUUUUAAAGAAAUGUUCUGACUUUUCCAUUAACUGAAUGUAACCCUUUUUUUUGUUUGACAGAUGAAUAAGGUUUUGUUUGUUUUGAACACUCCUGCUUCAAGAACUCAUGAAAAGUACAUUCAAAUCUGUCUUACUACAAUUUCAGGCUUGGUUUUGGUUUGGGAAGAGUUCUGGAGAAACAAGAUUACAGGAGCUAACUCCUAUGUGGGACAAAGGCAGCUGACUUUAGAUGCACAUUUCGCCUUUACAGGACCUUAUUAGCAGGCAUUCUGUUUCUUUGGUAAAAUGAGUUACUUAUUCAGCUUCAGGGUACCCUUUUAUAAAUAUCAAAACAGAUGAUUUCUUGCAAGCAAUUAUUCUGGGGAAAGAACAGUGAGGGAUCAUUUUAGGAAGGAAAUUAGGGGAGACACUUUAAUGUACGCAAACACAACAUAUGACAGUAGCAUUGCAUUGCUAUGUAAAACAAGUCAUUCAGAUUUAUAUAUUGAAGUCUCUGUUAGUAGUUAAUCUGCUGCUGGCCACCUGCAGAGGAGGAAUGGGAAAGGUUCCUUUUGAUCUCUUUUGUGAAAUGACCUUUAAGGGUGAAAAAAUAUAAAAAGAAAAUAAAUGUGAAUGAACCUUAAAAGGUUUGGUACAAAUAUUCUGUUGGGAACUGUUUGGUCCUUUAAAAAGAUGUCCACAUAGGAUAUAAAAUGCAUGAAAGAGAGUAACAUCUGUGCUUUAGGUCAGGAAGGCUUAUUACCCAUUAAUGUAACUCAGCUAACUUCUUACAGGUCCCUGAGACACAGUGUUAGUCUGCUGGGUUACUUUGUGAGUGUGCUGUGUCUCAGCUGAGAAGAGCAGCUUUGAAUAUGGAAAUGAAGGAGCUUUUCCUGAUAAAACCAGUUCGGAUGCAAGGGACAGCUGAGUGCUCUUGCCCCUGCCAGUAGGACCAUGGCCAGGGCUCAUCUCACUGCGGGGCGACCAUCUGCUGCCACUUAACAGCACAGGAAACCACCACUGAACAAAAGCAUCCACUCGUAGAGCAUCCCACCUCCUGCAACAAAAUGGAGGCAUAAAGGCAAUGCCACUUCCUCACAUACAAUUCACAGUGAAGAGAGGACAGCAAAGAGUUUAUCCUUGCAGUGCUCCCCUGUGUCCUUCUACAUCCUAUUCUCAAGGUCUUUGAAAAAAAAGGAUUAGAAAAACAUACACAUCAACAGAUGACCCUUGAUCUAGUGGACUACCACAAACACAUGAAAGAUAUUCUAGCCAGCAGAGCCAUGGAUAUUGCUGGUAUUAUAUUUGGUUAAAAUCCCACCACCUAUCUCAGCUUCUGGCAUGGAAGGAAAGGAAUUCUUUCCCAAGGGGCACAAAAAGGAUACAGAGCUACAAACCUGAAUUGAAGACCCAACCCUUGCAACCUUUGUGUGAAGUGAAGAAAAUGAAGAAAGUGAAUAAACCUCCCACCUGCUAAAAUUGAUGCUGCAAACUGUCCCCAGGAGAACUUCCAAGGAAUCCAGCCUCAUAUUGCCUGGGGAAUGCAAGAUCUCCACUGUGGCUCCUCAAACUCUGCUCCCAUCCUUGCUCUUCUGCCCAGGAAAUACCAUUUAAUGCACGUGCCCAGUUAGUCUGACAACUUUGAAGAAAGGAAGAGUAAGUGUCAAAGGCAAUGCAAGAAGGCAGGAUCUGGCAACAGCAGCUGUCAAGAUUCCAAACCCAAGAAAUGCAAACACCUACUGUCCAAAUUAUUGUUGUACUGGUAGAAACAGGAUAGUAGCCUUUGGUGUUCCUGUGAAUAAACUAGAAUGGAACUGUGUAUUGCCAGCUGAUUUUUUUUUUUCCAGUAACUCAACUUUCACAGUGAAUCAGAAGUACAAUUUUUCUAUUCUCUGCAUUUCAGUUUGGUCCCAGCUCUAGUUUCAUGACAAGCACCACUGGCCUCAUUUACACGAAUACCACAAUGAAAAUGAUAAAGUGACUGGUGGUGCUCAGAAUUUGCAAGUAAAGAUCUCUAGAUGAGAAUUUUGGAUCCUCACUUCCAACCAAGAGCAACAAUUUAAAUACUAGAGCUCUUUCCUAGAAGCCACAGUACAAGGUUUCCAAAAGCAGAAAGUAGUGCCUCAUGGAAAAUUCAGAAUCAGCUGAAGAUGUAAUUUUAUUGCAUAAAUGGUUUGAAAAUAUGACUGUUCUGUUCCUUAGUAAGUGAAAUGUAAUAAUUUUAGAAAAUUUAAAAUUUACCAAAAUUUGUACGAAAUGGAGUGAGAGGAAAACGUUUAACAAAUACAGUCCCCAAAGCGAAAGCAUCAUAAGAGAACAUUUACGUGUCCAAGUUAAUUCACUGUUUGGAGUGUUUUUAUUCUCGGUUUCAUUUCAAACAGAAACAGUAAAGUGAUAAGUAAGGAAGCAACAGAGAAAUCUGAAUUGUUAUGUUUGUGAGUUACUGGAAGACAAAAUACUGCUUAGAGAAAAAGGAACCUCCUGACGUGUUCAAAAAGAUGGGAACAUUGUGUAUGUUAUAAAAUUUGAUUAUAAAGUGGAAUAAAAUUUUAGGAUGCAUAAAAUGAGAGGUAUGAAAUAGGGAGAUAUCUGCCUAUCUAUAUAUAUGAUAUUUAUAGAGAGGAAACCAGUCAGGACAGGGGAUGUAUUGGAAUUCAUUGCAACUGAUUUGAUUGCAUAUAUGUUUAUGGCUACUUUUAUGUUCAGACACACAUAACUGAGUGCAUCUUGCACGUUUGUGAACAGGCUGGGGCAAUUUUGUUUACACUGAUGGAGUAUCAACUGUGGUCAUUCUGCAUGGGUAUUCUGAAUGCAGCUUCACUUUGGAAGGAGAAGGAGGGAAUGCAGCAGAGUGAAUGGAGCUUUGCAAACAAGCUAUUACAGGAAUUGAUUUGUGUUGUACUACAGGGCUAUUCAUUACUCCUUUGCUAUUUCUCUGCACACAACAUAGUUUUUGUCUACUAAUAUAGCUUUGACUAUGCACAAUUAUUUUUGUCUGAGCACUAGUUUGUGCUUUAGGCCUGGCUUUGCUGCAUAAACAGUUCCUGACAGUGGUUUGGUCGUGCAGCAGAGUAGCUGUUUGCCUAGGUACGUUUGUGGUAACCAUACAGAGCAGAUGGUUAUGACUGUAUAAGUCUUCCAGAGGCCACACACCACUGGGCAUCUAUACUGAAUUGUUCAGCUGUUUUCCAGGGCUUGAAGUGCAAGAAAACCAGCAAAAUGAGGAGGGAACAUGAUUGUAUAGACUGGAAAUCACUGCAGUCAUUCUACAAAUUCAACCUAAUGAAUUAGGUGUGGUGCUCCUUGUCAUUGCAGUAUCAGUAAAUUCAAUUCAUGGAGCUAUUCUCACUAACAAAUUUAUUGAAACUGUCAUCUGGAGACCUCCAACCUCACAUUUUGCAUCAGAAACUUGUCCAUGAACUUCAGAGAUUAGGACAUAAGUACAGAUUUAGUACUGCUGUUUGUAGUCAGCAACUUCUUUUUAGGAGAGAAUAUAAAUAUGUGAGGCAUGCCCCAAAAUAUGCUCUUAAAUCUGCAACAGGCUAUUCAUUAUACUCUGUAGCUAUGCCUUUAUCAAUUGCACAGGAGCAAUGGCAGCUGGCAAAAACUAGGUACAGAAAUAGACAAAACAAGGGCUGUAAUAGAAGCAAAAACAUCUUGCGUGACGAAGGAAUAUUGUACAGAACAGGGUAGAUAUGGGGCAAUAAUUCAAAACUUAAACAGGGUAAGAGUGAUCCUGUACAGAGUAAUAGCUGCAUAGUGGCCCAUGAGUAGAAGAAAGCCUGGGGAAGAGAGCUUCAAAUUUGAACUCAGAGGAUGUUAUAAGAUAGUAGCCAGUAGGAAAAAGGAUGUAAUAUAGAAAAAGGGCAUUAGUGGGACCACUCUGAAAGCCAAUGAUUGACUGAAAGGGACAGAUAUAAUGACAGCAGAGCAUUAAAGACAAGAAUGGUAGAGUAUCAGAAAAUUCUUAGUUACCUUAGACUGUAAAGUAAAAAGACACAUGCAGGACCUGUCUGAUCAUUCCAAUAUUUGAGAACAUGUUUCAUACUAACCUCUUUUUUCUUCUUCCUUCUGUACUAAUGGCUUUUUCUUACAAUAGUUUAUUUGUUCCUGAUGAGAUAUGUACACAUGUCAUGUACACACUGCCUCACGCUCCUCUACAGCUAAGCAUGACCCAGAGUACAACAUUAUCUUCUGCAUUUGUUCAGAUUCCUGGAAAAAUACUCAAGGGAGCCAGCGCAGAUCUGAUAUAUGGAUGCCAAUUUGUCCCUCUGUCUUAACAACACAGCCAAGGUCUGACCUUCCCCAGCUUCCAGGGGUUUCUUAGUAGAGGAAGGUAUAAAAAAACCAAAACAAAACACCAGACUCUAUUAUAGAUAAAUAGAGAACUGAAAAUGGAGAAAUGUUAAUUAAUAUGCCGUAUAUCUGUAACCCAUUUGGAUUUUUAUUUACUUUUGCCAGCUUAAGAUAUUCAGAUGAGGCACUGGGAGUAUACAUGCUUUCAAGAAAGGUGUGUACAUAGCUGUAAAGGAAGGUGCAGUAUCUUUUUGCUAAAAAGAGAUUUAAAUUAUUUUUUAAUAUCUUUUGUGAAUCACUACUAAAGAAAGUGGCAACUUCUCAAGCUUUUGGAAAAAAAAAGGAAACAAAAGAAAAGCCUUUGGAUGCCCACAGUAGGUGGCAUCAGCUACUGACCUACCUACUAAUAAGGCAAAUGAAAGGAAAACAGCCUGAGAGGGAACUAAAUAGCAGAGAGCCAAAGUCUUGGGGGGAGAACAGGCAAAGGAGGCAUACAGUGCUUAAUUCACCCUGACUAAAAAGCUCUGUCAAACCACAAGCUCAGGAUGCUACCAUUACAACAGGAAAAAAAAAUAGUUAAUUGCAUUAUACUCCUUUGACUAGAAUACUGCUGGAUUACAUGGCUGAAAACAGAAAGUCUAAUAAGAGUCUUUAAGAAAAUAACAUAUAGCCUGGGAGGAAGCACUAGGGCUAGUCAAGCUUCUGCUUGCUGUUACAGGAGCUCUGUCCUGGUGGAUGAUCUAUGGGAAAUAGCUCUGAAAUCAAAUUAACUCAGCUGCUCUGGCUUCACAACCAGCACUUUGUGCAGUAAACAGAAACAUGGGGCAGAAUAAAUUGAACCAAAAAGUCAGAAUCAUAAAUGCCUUCCUUGGCUGCUUUGGAAAUGUGCAAUGCUUAUUAGAGUUCCUAAACCUGUUCCUGUCCCCUAAAUCCUCCCUGGAAUAUUUAGAAAACAUUUCCUUAGAGCCUGAAUGCUUUUCCUGCACUCCCUUCUAAGGAAAUAGAGGCCUUUAACACAUCUUUAAUAAUCAUAAACUUUGCUCUUAACCAGUUCAUUUUUCCAUUUUUUACAUUUACAGAAUAUCAACAUUAGGGUUUUAUUAAUUUAUUUAUAUAUAUAUUUAACACUUGGGUUGACAUAUUUUGAUAAUUUUAUAUUAUUAAAUUUAUAUAUAUGUAUUUAAUAUAUAUGUAAUGUCUGGUAAAAACACUGUCCUGAAAAGCUUUUUUAGGAACUAUCUUUGACAGUUCUGCUACUACUGGUAUAAUGCCAUAUUAUUUUCAGUUAUUUAUUUUUCACUGUUACUUUGGCAUUUGACUCAUUUUACAUU